ACAACAGUAAUGACACCCCUAGAGGAGAGGAUCACAAGACCUAAACCUGGGAUUCCACUCAGUACUCCCUUCUUCUCUUCUCCAGCUGCACAUGAUCUUGAAAGGUGAAAGGUUAACUGAAGAUGUGAGUUCAUGAAGCAGCUUUGGUUUGAGGUGGCCAGUCUACCACUUGUCUUCUUGCAGAGUAAUGAACACAUGUGGGAAACCUUGUCUUUACUCAAAAAGGGAACGUGUCAUCAGCACAAGGUUUAACAUGCUGAAGUUGAUAGUGAGGUCCCACUGGACGUCAAACAACCACCCUCCUCUGUCCAUUCACAACAGUGGUUCCUCACUUGAGCAAAAUUCACGAAACAGUGCAGAAUAUUUUAGGAAAAAAUUCCAUGACCCUUCCAAAUCUGAGAGAGUUGUGUUAACUCAUUCCAGACUUCAAGUAAUCAGGUUCACAGAUGGUGACUGUUUUUAUUAGUGCAACGAAGUCAUCUGUCAGUCUGUGCUUGUGGUUAUCCUGAGUAGACAGAGCAUCUGUACUCAAACAGAGCAGCUCAACUGGAGUAACUCAAAAAAAAAAAGAAAAGAAAAGAGAAGAGAAGAGAAGAGAAGAGAAGAGAAGAGAAGAGAAGAGAAGAGAAGAGAAGAGAAGAGAAGAGAAGAGAAGAGAAGAAAGGAAGGAAGGAAGGAAGGAAGGAAGGAAGGAAGGAAGGAAGGAAGGAGAAAAAAUGCGGUAAUCCUAGCACCAGUGAUGCAGAAACAGGAUCAUUUCCAAACACUUGAGAUGAUAUAUGCAUGGAUGGUGCCCUCUUAUUGUCCUGAGACCUCAGGGAGCUCCAGGUGAUAGCUAUGGAUUUUACGUGGAUACCAGUGACUAAUGAACCAAGGGGACUAAGGGAGGAAGCUGAGACCCAGCCAUAUUCACACUCAGGAAUUCCUGAAGAUGGAAGGGUCAUCACACCGGAGUUUCAUGAUGGAGGAAAGAAAAUGGAGCUAAACACAGAGGAACUGCUACAAAUCCACACAGAAGCACACAGAACCGAGUUACCCCUUAUGCCUUUCAGUCCGC
rnacentral:lncRNA from 1 species